AGUGAACGCUGGCGGUAGGCCUAACACGUGCAAGUCGAACGGCAGCACAGUAAGAGCUUGCUCUUACGGGUGGCGAGUGGCGGACGGGUGAGGAAUACAUCGGAAUCUACUUUUUCGUGGGGGAUAACGUAGGGAAACUUACGCUAAUACCGCAUACGACCUACGGGUGAAAGCAGGGGAUCUUCGGACCUUGCGCGAUUGAAUGAGCCGAUGUCGGAUUAGCUAGUUGGCGGGGUAAAGGCCCACCAAGGCGACGAUCCGUAGCUGGUCUGAGAGGAUGAUCAGCCACACUGGAACUGAGACACGGUCCAGACUCCUACGGGAGGCAGCAGUGGGGAAUAUUGGACAAUGGGCGCAAGCCUGAUCCAGCCAUACCGCGUGGGUGAAGAAGGCCUUCGGGUUGUAAAGCCCUUUUGUUGGGAAAGAAAAGCAGCAGGUUAAUACCCCGCUGUUCUGACGGUACCCAAAGAAUAAGCACCGGCCAACUUCGUG
rnacentral:rRNA from 1 species